rnacentral:rRNA from 1 species
UACGUAGGGUGCAAGCGUUGUCCGGAAUUAUUGGGCGUAAAGAGCUUGUAGGCGGUUUGUCGCGUCUGCUGUGAAAUUUCGGGGCUCAACCCCGAACUUGCAGUGGGUACGGGCAGACUAGAGUGUGGUAGGGGAGACUGGAAUUCCGGGUGUAGCGGUGAAAUGCGCAGAUAUCAGGAGGAACACCGAUGGCGAAGGCAGGUCUCUGGGCCACUACUGACGCUGAGAAGCGAAAGCAUGGGGAGCGAACAGG